GCUAUGGAAAUAAAAAUAUAAACAAAAUCGCAACAAUAAACAGUGUCGAACCGUAACGAAAUGACUUCUGCGAACAUGUAUAUUAUAGUGUGCUCGCGUGAAUCACGUAGUUGCACCAUGCGAGGAGAUAAUUAUAUCACAACAGAUUAUUUGAACAUAAUGUUUUAUAAUAUUUCAUAAGUCUGUGAUAUCUAUUAUGUUAUUAUAUAAAUAUUACCUAUUGUGAUGAUGACGAUUAUAGUAAUAGUAUAACAUCGAUGCGAUCGACCAGCAGGGUGAAAUCGUGCGUCUUGAAGGGUGGUUGCGGUUGGUGGUGGAUGGCGGUGUUGUUUGUGCAAAGGGUCAUGGCGGUCUCCUAGUGCCGGGAGCUGGAGGGGAUGUUCGCGAUUCCUCGGCAGCGGUCGACACGUUUCGGCAGUGGUGCGGUGCGCGUGCGCGUUGUGCGAAUGAUAUCUGCGAUUUGGAGGCGGUUACAGUGGUUACACAGACUACCGUCCGCUAGAUGCCGUAACUAUCAGCACGUUCCCGGGACCGUGCACGUACUCAAAGUAAUAUUUUUAUCAACGAAAUACUAUGAAAAUGACGGACAACGUAUUUUUUCUUUAUUAUUUUUAUUAUUUGCCAAAAACGUUAUUGUAAUGGUCUGCGGUUUGAACGGAACCUGAAUGGCGAACAUUCGCCAGUAACAUCUCAUCAACAGAUCUAAUAUUAGGACCAGGUGGCUUGACUCCAAGUAUACAAUCAUUUUUUAAGUAAAAGAAAAUGUAUAAAAUCAAAAGAACGAGUAGAAACUAUAGUGGCCUGAACAGCAAGAAACUGAUCAACUCCUUCUGACUUAUACGUGUGAAGAGUUUUCUGUAUGGUACCACUUGGACUUUUUCAGGACUAAAUCUGUAACUAUGAAAAAUUAAUACUUAAUGAAAUUCUAAAAAUG